UCUCCCUCCCGCAAGCACACAGAUCCUCUCUUCUCUCCAUGUAGUCACUACUUGGGGAAGGGGAAUGGGUGGUAUCAGCAAUUCAAGACUGAUUUCUUUUCCAUCUUCAGCGCCCCUUUCCUUGAUAUGAUGUUAAAACCAGAACAAGAAACAGAUCGAGGAAGAGGCAGAGUAACAACAGCCGGGAAGAAGAUACAGUUUUGUCAUUUUGUAGUGAGACUGUGCCCUAUACAUGAACCUAUUUGCCAGACCCAUCAAGUGAAUUCCGUGAUUCUUAUGAAAAAUGCCAUUAGACCUGUGAGAGGGGCUGUGACAGUGGAACCCGAAUGAAGACAGGAAAAGUCUGUAGAGGACUGAUGGUUAUGUUCACCAUUCAAAUUGCAAGAAAACCAAUAAGAAGUCAGUAAAGUGCAUUCAAAGAGAAAGGUGGGACUCGUGAAGCAGCAAUACUAAACUGAUACACAAAGGAUCCCCGUACUUCAUCAAAAUAUCAAUGUUGUCCAUGACACACAAAGAACCCAGCUGUAGUUUAAUUCAGCAUCACAGUCCCAACAUGUUUUAAAACAUGUUCCAGCUUUUGGUCCCAGGAUUAUUCAACCUAGCUCAUAAAAGAAAACAAUAUUGCAUUUCUAAGUAUUGGCUCCUAGAAUUGGCAAGUUUAGUCAAGAAAAGCUGGAAUGCCGUUAAAACAACACCCUGUCAUCUUUCAAUCAGUCCUUAGCUGAAGUUAAAAUCCCACUCAUUCUGCAUGAUCCAGCCUCUGUAGCAUAGAGUGAGUAGCCCCUUAACAAGAACCAAAAUGGAGGGUACGGAUGAGGCUCAGAUCGUCACCACCUGGAGAAUAGAGACAGUGACUGAGUCACCAGGAAAUCUGUCCCCUGCUCAUCCCAGAAUCCCCGAGCUUUGACUUUUUAAGAGAACAUGUGACAGAUAAUGCCAUCUGAGAAGAUUCACAGAGCAACCAAAUAAAGAUGAUUGAGUGAAUGGCUAAAGAAAUAAAUAUGUUCGAAUCUGUACCCAUCUCAUGUCUUUCCUGAUGAUUGCCUCCUUUACUGUAUGUUUUCCACUGAGAUGAAGAUUUUGGUCAUUUCCUCAUUCAUGUUCCUGCUUUUCAAAACCCAAGCAAGAAAGGAAACUUCUACAGUGACUUUCUCAUUAUGAAAUCUUAGCAUUCACUAGUCGGCCAUAAUGGAAAACCAGCCAAAUGGACACAUAUACACUGGUCUGUACCCGCAGAGAAAGAAAUGCAAAUCUCUGUGAUCAGAAAACUAUCCUAUCUUGUACAUUGUUAAAAGUCUGCCUCCAAAAAGUUUACUUCUGGAAUACUGUAAUUGAAUAGAAUCAGGGAUCCUACCUGUGUCCUUCAACUUUCACAUCUUGUCUACUCAAGUAAGGGUUGAAUUUGCAUGACUAUAUCUAAGGUUCGAGGGCUUACCUGUUGGCAGUAGACCCAGUAGUCUAUGAAUGGAAAUGGGCAAACCUGUGACCUCCCAAAACUUUAAUAUGAAAGUUUUGUUUGUGUAUACUCAUGGCAUUAUUCUUUUAAUAAAGAGAUAAUCUAUAUAGUUUUCUUUUUUAAAA
rnacentral:lncRNA from 1 species